rnacentral:rRNA from 1 species
CAUGUAGGUGGAUCAAUUAGUCUGCUGUGAAAGUCGAAGGCUCAACCUUCGAAAGCCGGUGGAUACUGUUGAUCUAGAGUACGGAAGAGGCGAGUGGAAUUCCUGGUGUAGCGGUGGAAUGCGCAGAUAUCAGGAGGAACACCAAUAGCGAAGGCAGCUCGCUGGGACGUAACUGACACUGAGGCGCGAAAGCAGGGGAGCAAACA